ACUCCUACGGGAGGCAGCAGUGGGGAAUAUUGCACAAUGGGCGCAAGCCUGAUGCAGCAACGCCGUGUGAGUGAAGAAGGUUUUCGGAUCGUAAAACUCUGUCCUAAGGGAAGAAAAAAUGACGGUACCUUAGGAGGAAGCCCGGCUAACUACGUGCCAGCAGCCGCGGUAAUACGUAGGGGGCAAGCGUUAUCCGGAAUCACUGGGGCGUAAAGGGUGCGUAGGCGGCUUGACAAGCCAGGGGUGAAAGGCAUUGGCUCAACCAAUGUAAGCCUUUGGAACUGUUAAGCUUGAGUGCAGGAGAGGUAAGUGGAAUUCCUAGUGUAGAGGUGAAAUUCGUAGAUAUUAGGAGGAACACCAGUGGCGAAGGCGACUUACUGGACUGUAACUGACGCUGAUGCACGAAAGCGUGGGUAGCGAACAGGAUUAGAUACCCUGGUAGACUGUCA
rnacentral:rRNA from 1 species